rnacentral:rRNA from 1 species
UACGUAGGGACCUAGCGUUGUCCGGAAUCAUUGGGCGUAAAGCGCGCGUAGGCGGCCCGGUAAGUCCGUUGUAAAAGUCGAAGGCUCAACCUUCGAAAGCCGAUGGAUACUGCCGGGCUAGAGUACGGAAGAGGCGAGUAGAAUUCCUGGUGUAGCGAUGAAAUGCGCAGAUAUCAGGAGGAACACCAAUUGCGAAGGCAGCACUCUGGGACGUGACUGACGCUGAGACGCGAAAGCGUGGGGAGCAAACAGG